UCAGAACUAUCUUAGUUUAGUUUUAAACAUCCUCAAUUAUGGAUUGUUCAACAGCUUCCCUUGGGAUCUUGCUCCAUACUCUUUCAGACUUCGCUGUUGGGAUGUUUUCCUUGAUUUUUCCAGCCUACAUUUGUAUUUUCCUAACUUCAUGUCAUAGCUAAUUAUAGCUGACAGACUGCAAGUAGAAAACUGGGUGGGGAAGAAGGAAAGCCCAGCCAGCUCAGGGAAACAUGGUAGACAGCGCUUCGAGAUGCACCCACAAAGCAGGAGAAAACAGGCAGAGAGGGCCAGGAAACAGCAGAGAAGUGAAGAAAUAGGAAGUGAAGCAGCAGUCAUGAAGAAAGUAUGCAAGGGAGCAGCAACCCUGCAGGGAAGGAAAAAGCAGGAUGACUUUCAAGGGCAGAGAUUAAUGUAACUCAGGGGAGGAUGCAGUGACAGGAUUUGGGGAAAAGAACAGAGGAACAGAACUAUCAGGGAAGAAAUGGCUGGAGGAUGUGAUAAACAAAGAAGCAAUGGGGAGCAGAAAAAACAUCAGAUGGGACUGUGCUCUAUCUAAACUGAAACUUGAAAAGGAAAAAAAAAAAAACCAAACCACUAUUAUUAAAAUGAGCGUAAGAAAGCUGCUACCUGAAAUGAUUCACUGUAUGGAAAUCUCGACUCUUGAAAGAAAUGUUUUCUAAGCACAGUGUACAGACAUCUGUGCCUUCUUCUACAGAACUCCGAGUAACUACGAAGGGCAGAAGACAUUUGAAGUCCAGAUUUUCAGCUUGCAGCCAGUGGCCCAUGUGCCUACAGCAAAGGAGUAAAUUGUGGUUAAUACCUACAUGAACAUCCUGAAGUCCUAACAGUCAUACAAAUUUUUUCCUGCAACCUGUUGUGAACUGAUAAUGCACUGCUGUGGCUCCCUAAUUUCACUGGUGAAAUAGUCUUCACAGAUAUUACUUUUGAUUAGAUGACAACUGCAAAAAGUCUUUCUUUAAUAAUUUUAUGAACAGUCUUAUGUACUCAGUUCACAGUGACCUUCCAAAUUCGUUUGAUUAAGCUGUCUCUUUCACUCAAUACCAUCCUGUCCUCAGAAGUAACUGAAAAUAUAGAGUGCAAAUGAAUAGUCUGAAUAGUUCAG
rnacentral:lncRNA from 1 species